UACGUAGGGUGCGAGCGUUGUCCGGAAUUAUUGGGCGUAAAGAGCUCGUAGGCGGUCUGUCGCGUCUGCUGUGAAAACCCCGAGGCUCAACCUCGGGCCUGCAGUGGGUACGGGCAGACUAGAGUGCGGUAGGGGAGAUUGGAAUUCCUGGUGUAGCGGUGGAAUGCGCAGAUAUCAGGAGGAACACCAAUGGCGAAGGCAGAUCUCUGGGCCGUAACUGACGCUGAGGAGCGAAAGCAUGGGGAGCGAACAGG
rnacentral:rRNA from 1 species